UACUUACUCCAUCCGUCCGGAAAUACUUGUCAUAAAAAUGAAUGUAUUUAGAUUAUUUUAGUUCUAGAUACAUCAGAUUUUAUUCAUUUGUGCGACAAGUAAUUUCGGACAAAGGGAGUAUUAC
rfam:Hordeum vulgare subsp. vulgare, WGS project CAJW01000000 data, contig: morex_contig_2547932